GUCUGUUUGGAGGUAUAAAAAGUCUGGCCUGCCCACUGAUAAUUUUUUUUAAAGGGCCGCGGUAAUUUGACCGUGCAAAGGUAGCAUAAUCGUUAGUUUUUUAAUUGGAAUCUUGUAUGAAUGGUUGAACAAAAGAAUGACUGUCUCUAUAUUUUUUUUGAAUUUAACUUUUAAGUGAAAAGGCUUGAAUGUUUUAAAAAGACGAUAAGACCCUGUAAAGCUUGAUGAGUUUUAUUAUUUAAUUAAAUUAGUAGUUGUAUAAAAAUUUAAUAAGAGCAAUUUAUUUUAUUGGGGCGAUAAUGAUAAAAUGUGUCUAACUGUUAAUAAAUAAAAGACAAAAUUUAGUGUGUAGGCGCAAUAAAUGAUCCUUAAAUUAAGAUUAAGAGUUUAAGUUACUUCAGGGAUAACAGCGUUAUUUUUCUUGAGAGUCCAUAUCGAAAGAAAAGUUUGCGACCUCGAUGUUGAAUUAAAAUUUCUAUAUAAUUGCAGAAGUUAUAUUAGAGGGUCUGUUCGACCUUUAAAUUUUUACAUGAUUUGAGUUCAGACCGGCGUAAG
rnacentral:rRNA from 1 species